CGCGGCCUAUCAGCUUGUUGGCGGGGUAACGGCCCACCAAGGCAUCGACGGGUAGCUGGUCUGAGAGGACGAUCAGCCACACUGGGACUGAGACACGGCCCAGACUCCUACGGGAGGCAGCAGUGGGGAAUAUUGCGCAAUGGGCGAAAGCCUGACGCAGCAACGCCGCGUGGGGGAUGAAUGCCUUCGGGUUGUAAACCCCUUUCAGCAGGGACGAAAAUGACGGUACCUGCAGAAGAAGCCCCGGCCAACUACGUGCCAGCAGCCGCGGUAACACGUAGGGGGCAAGCGUUGUCCGGAUUUAUUGGGCGUAAAGAGCUCGUAGGCAGUUGCGUAAGUCGGAUGUGAAAACUCAGGGCUCAACCCGGAGACGCCAUUCGAAACUGCGCUGACUAGAGUCCGGUAGGGGAGCAUGGAAUUCCUGGUGUAGCGGUGAAAUGCGCAGAUAUCAGGAGGAACACCAGUAGCGAAGGCGGUGCUCUGGGCCGGAACUGACGCUGAGGAGCGAAAGCGUGGGUAGCGAACAGGAUUAGAUACCCUGGUAGUCCACGCCGUAAACGUUGGGCACUAGGUGUGGGGCCUACUUAACGGGUUCCGUGCCGUAGCUAACGCAUUAAGUGCCCCGCCUGGGGAGUACGG
rnacentral:rRNA from 1 species